rnacentral:rRNA from 1 species
CAGCAGCCACGGGAAUACGUAGGGUGCGAGCGUUAAUCGGAAUUACUGGGCGUAAAGUGUGCGCAGGCGGUUGUGUAAGACAGGUGCGAAAUCCCCGGGCUUAACCUGGGAACUGCGCUUGUGACUGCACAGCUAGAGUAUGGCAGAGGGGGGUGGAAUUCCACGUGUAGCAGUGAAAUGCGUAGAGAUGUGGAGGAACACCGAUGGCGAAGGCAGCCCCCUGGGCCAAUACUGACGCUCAUGCACGAAAGCGUGGGGAGCAAACAGGAUUAGAUACCCCGGUAGUCCCUGUCUCUUAUAA